rnacentral:rRNA from 1 species
GGGCCCGCACAAGCGGUGGAGCAUGUGGUUUAAUUCGAUGCAACGCGAAGAACCUUACCAAGGCUUGACAUACUACAAAUUUUUCUGAGAAGAAAAGUGCCUUCGGGAAUGUAGAUACAGGUGGUGCAUGGCUGUCGUCAGCUCGUGUCGUGAGAUGUUGGUUAAGUCCCGCAACGUAGCGCAACCCUUGUUUUAGUGCCAAUUUAUUGGGUUUUCUAGAAAGACUGCCGGUGACAAACCGGAGGAAGGUGAGGAUGACGUCAAGUCAGCAUGCCCCUUAUGCCUUGGGCUACACACGUGCUACAAUGGCUAGGACAAAGAGUUGCGAGCUCGCGAGAGU